rnacentral:rRNA from 1 species
UGGGGAAUCUUGCACAAUGGGGGCAACCCUGAUGCAGCCAUGCCGCGUGGGUGAAGAAGGCCUUCGGGUUGUAAAGCCCUUUCGGCCGGGAAGACGCCGGCUCGCUCGAACAGGGUGGGCUUGGUGACGUUACCGGCAGAAGCAGCGCCGGCCAACUCCGUGCCAGCAGCCGCGGUAACACGGAGGGCGCGAGCGUUAAUCGGAAUCACUGGGCGUAAAGGGCACGCAGGCGGCCCGUCAAGUGGGAUGUGAAAGCCCCGGGCUCAACCUGGGAAUGGCAUUCCAAACUGGCGGGCUCGAGUCCGGGAGAGGGAGGUGGAAUUCCCCGUGUAGCGGUGAAAUGCGUAGAUAUGGGGAGGAACACCGGUGGCGAAGGCGACCUCCUGGCCCGGUACUGACGCUGAGGUGCGAAAGCGUGGGGAGCGAACG